ACCCGCUGAACUUAAGCAUAUCAAUAAGCGGAGGAAAAGAAACUAACAAGGAUUCCCCUAGUAACGGCGAGUGAAGCGGGAAGAGCUCAAAUUUAAAAUCUGGCGGUCUCAGACUGUCCGAGUUGUAAUCUAGAGAGGUGUUUUCCGUGCCGGACCAUGUAAAAGUCCCUUGGAACAGGGCGUCAUAGAGGGUGAGAAUCCCGUUCAUGACAUGGACUCCCGGUGCUCUGUGAUACAUCUUCAAAGAGUCGAGUUGUUUGGGAAUGCAGCUCAAAAUGGGUGGUAAAUUCCAUCUAAAGCUAAAUAUUGGCGAGAGACCGAUAGCGAACAAGUACCGUGAGGGAAAGAUGAAAAGAACUUUGGAAAGAGAGUUAAACAGUACGUGAAAUUGUUAAAAGGGAAACGCUUGAAGUCAGUCGCGUCUUCUGGGACUCAGCCUUGCUUCUGCUUGGUGCAAUUCUCAGUUGAUGGGCCAGCAUCAAUUUUGGGCGCCGGAUAAAGGUGGGAGGAAUGUGGCAACUUCGGUUGUGUUAUAGCCUCCUGUCACACACGGUGCCUGGGAUUGAGGAAUGCAGCAUGCCUUAUGGUUGGGGUUCGCCCACAUUCAUGCUUAGGAUGCUGGCGUAAUGGCUUUAAACGACCCGUCUUGAAACACGG
rnacentral:rRNA from 1 species